GAGGCGAACCAGGGGAACUGAAACAUCUAAGUACCCUGAGGAAAAGAAAACGCAAGUGAUUUCCUAAGUAGUGGCGAACGAAAGGGAAACAGCCCAAACCUUGUUUGUGUUAAAGCCUGUAAGCAUUGCAAACAAGGGGUUGCGGGAUACAAUAGAACUCAAUUUACAGAUUGAGUUGAGAAGUUACAAAAUUAUUUCUUAGCUGAAUAAGCUGGAAUGCUUAAUCAUAGAAGGUGAUAGUCCUGUAGGUGAAAAGAAAUAAUCUUCUUUUGUUGUAUUCCCAAGUAUUGCGGGACACG
rnacentral:rRNA from 1 species